AGAUAGAGAUGUUUGCAGCUGCC
rnacentral:miRNA from 15 species